AGCAGUAGCCGCGGUAAUACGUAGGUGGCAAGCGUUAUCCGGAAUUAUUGGGCGUAAAGCGUGCGCAGGCGGUCCGUUAAGACAGAUGUGAAAUCCCCGGGCUUAACCUGGGAACUGCAUUUGUGACUGGCGGGCUAGAGUAUGGCAGAGGGGGGUAGAACUCCACGUGUAGCAGUGAAAUGCGUAGAGAUGUGGAGGAAUACCGAUGGCGAAGGCAGCCCCCUGGGCCAAUACUGACGCUCAUGCACGAAAGCGUGGGGAGCAAACAGGAUUAGAUACCCGGGUAGUCCCUGUCUCUUAUAC
rnacentral:rRNA from 1 species